rnacentral:rRNA from 1 species
GGACGUGAACCGCUCGUAGGGAAACGGAUAGAACCACGAAGUGUAGCUGGAAGGAGAAUUCAGCUCUUUCGCACGGUGUUGCCGGAACAUCAGGCUGUGGGGUAUGCUUUCAUACAGCAUCAAGAUCACCAGUGCCGGGGUAACUCGGUGCUGGCCUUGAGCCCCGCGGUCUACGGUAUGUUCCAGGAUAACUCUAGGCAACAUUCGUGUGGGGAGUGCAUUUUCUCAUCUUCCGAGCUCGAGUCUCGACCAGUGUGGCGGAGUAUUGAGAGAAUACUCGUAUACAGUGGCCAUAGAAAGGUAUGCUAACACCAUACCUGAUCUACACACGGUUUACUCAACACUACUGUGCAUCCUUGCGGUGCACAGACUAGUGUUGAGCCGGGUUAGUCAGCUAUGGCCACAUACACACUGGACAAGAAUCUCUGCGUAUGCAGGGUCAACACAAUGCCCGGUGAGGUGCUCCCGGUAUACCCGAGUAGUGUAUUCGUUAUUGAAUGCUGUUUUUGUACUCAGUGCAAGAACGAUUCAUGGUUACGCUAUCUCUUUGGUGGUGUGCUAGUACAUCUCGCUGUGGUUAUCUUGGACUGUUGAUAUGAUUCGGAGGCAAGUAGAUCGGUACUCUAUCCGACCCGUCUUGAAACACGG